rnacentral:rRNA from 1 species
GAUGAACGCUGGCGGCGUGCCUAAUACAUGCAAGUCGAGCGAACGGACGAGAAGCUUGCUUCUCUGAUGUUAGCGGCGGACGGGUGAGUAACACGUGGAUAACCUACCUAUAAGACUGGCAUAACUUCGGGAAACCGUAGCUAAUACCGGAUAAUAUUUUGAACCGCAUGGUUCAAAAGUGAAAGACGGUCUUGCUGUCACUUAUAGAUGGAUCCGCGCUGCAUUAGCUAGUUGGUAAGGUAACGGCUUACCAAGGCAACGAUGCAUAGCCGACCUGAGAGGGUGAUCGGCCACACUGGAACUGAGACACGGUCCAGACUCCUACGGGAGGCAGCAGUAGGGAAUCUUCCGCAAUGGGCGAAAGCCUGACGGAGCAACGCCGCGUGAGUGAUGAAGGUCUUCGGAUCGUAAAACUCUGUUAUUAGGGAAGAACAUAUGUGUAAGUAACUGUGCACAUCUUGACGGUACCUAAUCAGAAAGCCACGGCUAACUACGUG